rnacentral:lncRNA from 1 species
CCUGUAAUCCCAGCACCUUGGGAAGCCGAGGUGGGUGAACCACGAGGUCAGGAGUUCGAGACCAGCCUGGGCAACAUGGUGAAACCCCAUCUCUACUAAAAACAGCUACUCGGAAGGUUGAGGCAGGAGAAGGUGUGAACCCAGGAGACAGAGGUUGUAGGGAGUCGAGAUCACGCCACUGCACUCAAACCUGUGCGACAGAGUGAGACUCUGUCUCAAAAAUAAAUAAAUAAAUAAAAAAUAAAAAGUGAAUAAUAAAAUAAAGUAGUCAUAUUAAAGGAUUAUACUUUAUUCUACGUCUUACUUUUAAAAUGGUAAAAAAUUUUCUUUUAUGAAAUAAUGGUGUUAGUAGAUUUUUUAAAAUGUAUUUAUUUAGGAAAGUAAAACGGUGGCAACUGUAAGUCAGUCCUAUCAAUAAACUUCUCUG